AACCCCCUCUUUCCAUGUGUCCAGUAACUGACGGACCUGGGGUUCAUUUUCUAGACAGGAGGCAUGUUUGGCAGAGCUCGAUGGAUCCAGCUCUGCAUGUCCUGCCGACUUGAGGACAUUUGCUUCCAGGUGUUUGGCCCUGGGCUCUCUGAGCUGCUGCUGAGGGUGAUGCUGGCUGAGUCUUCAGUGAUGCCCAUUGUGUGCUGAGCGUGGAUACAGUCAUGUCGCUGCUUCCUCAGAGUGACCCUGGAACAUGGGUGCCUGUGUGCCCUGGGUGUGAGCCUGUGUCAGGACACGGAUGUCUGGGCAGGCACUAUGCAGAGCACUCAAUUCAGCCACGAGACUCAUGCACUCUAGAAAUGCCUAAAGAUGCUGAAGAACUGGAGCAAAUAUCAGAGUAAUAGAAGCUAAGGAGGAGGUUGAGGGUCCCCUUAUGACAACUUCCUGCAUGGUUGGUACAAGCAGUGCCUAUUUCCAAGGCAGUACGCUGCCUGAUUCUCAGAUGGCUGGAGCUGUGUCACAAAACAGACAUGGGGAUCACUGCCCAGGUGUGGGGGAAGAAGUCAACACUGCUGCUAGACAUGAACAAGAUAAAGACCGAGAGUCCAGGAAAAUACCAGGUACGGGCCCUCUACCUGCUCUCACACAGGUAGCACUAACAAGCCAGACAUUGUCACAGCCAAAGUCUCCCACCUGUUGUAAAGUGCAGCCCAAGGGAUGGCCAGUAGUUCUAGGGCCUCCUCACCGACUUGCCUUCCUUUCUCUGGAACCUCCUCCAGCCCCUUUUCAGACUCUCCCAGACUUGGCUGGCCCUGGGUACUCACACUCCAUGACAGAAAGCCUGCCUCUCUCCCUGAUGGGUUGUUCUGUGAACUUUGGCCCAGCACAGACACCAGGCCCAAGAACAGAUUCCUCCUACCUCAAGGCUACAGUCAUAUGUGGAAGAUGGGUUGGAGGGGCUAUGGGAUAGGCUAGUGCCCUGGAGAUAAAGGGACUCCUCAGAGAGGUUAGGGGUCUUGGGAGAGUUGUGGGAGUCCUGGAAAGGAUCAAGGGUCUGGAAGAUGUGGGUAACACCAUAUACCCAAAGCUCUCCUAGCACAAAGAUCAGCAUUCAUCAUGUUCUCAGAAGCUAUGGGGUACCAAGCCCCAAGCUGGGGCAGUUGGGACCACGGCAUUCACUAAUAGAGAAUGAGAGCAGCAAGCAAAGCAAUGCUGCCCAAAGCAAGGAGCUCUGGGAGACCUGUGUGGAUCUGGGGAAGAGACUUUCUGUCUGGACAUCAGGACAAGGGACUCCUGGGUGCCAGCAUGGAAGCAGAGACCUAGAGUGUGACAUGGAGGUGGUCGUGGGAAGAGUGCAGGGACCGAAGGAGGGGUCCUGGGGUAGGCAGGUGGGAAGGAGCCUCAGAGUGUUAGGAUGAUGUAGAAUGGAAACCCCCGAGGUGAGGGUAGAGGCCAGGCCUAGAGAGACAAGGCUGUCCUUGUGCUAUUUUUUUUUUUGACAGGCAAAGUUAGUCAGUGAGAAAGAGAGACAGAGAGAAAGGUCUUCCAUCUGUUGGUUUACUCCCCAAAUGGCUGCUAUGGCCGGCGCGUUGCACCGAUCCGGAGCCAGGAGCCAGGUGCUUCCUCCUGGUCUCCCAUGCGGGUGCAGGGCCCAAGCACUUGGGCCAUCCUCCACAGCCUUCCCAGGCCACAGCAGGGAGCUGGACUGGAAGAGGAGCAACUGGCACAGAACCGGUGCCCCAACCGGGACUAGAACCUGGAGUGCCGGCGCCGCAGGUGAAGGAUUAGCCUAGUGAGCCACAGUGCCGGCCUAUCCUUGUACUUUAACAGGUGGCCUGGAGAGCAGAGCUUGGAGAGAUGAGGUCAUGGGAAAUCUCAGUCACCUGGAGGUUGUGAGAAGGGCCAGAGUGCAGAGUGAGGGGUCGAUGCCGACCAAGAGCUAGCUGGGAGCAAAAUCAGGUUGGACUACGAUAUGCAUGGAAUGAAUUGAGGGUGGGGGCCAUCCAAAUUAUGCCCUAUUUUACUAUUUGUGAUCUCAUAUUUCUGCCUUUUUUACUUUUUAUUUUGACUAUGCCAAUGUAUCUCAACAAUCAGGAAUGAAUAGUGUACCAAACCAAAAAAUUCCAUCCUCACAGUUCCCACAGGUAUCUGAAGCAGUCUCCCGUCCCGCCUCACACAGCCACUCCCCCAGUGGAAAAUAACUUAAAACAAAGCCAAAUGCAUUUGUAGAUAUCUCAGUGUGCAUUAGUAAUUUAGAAAUGUUUGUUAAACACGAGCAUCACCACCCUUCAAAUAUUGCUGGAAGUCUACAAUAUCAUCAGUAUUCAUAUCUACCUAACUGCCUUCCAGUCUCUAACUAUAUUCCAUCAGAAUGUGGAGCUUCUCUGUAGAGGAGCUAGUAUUAAACACGUAAAGUAAAAACUUUCAAAAAUGCUUUAAAUAAUGACAAUUCCCAUUGUGCCACUAAAAAGGCCAUACUGAGUUAUAAAUUCAACAAAAUGCUAGGGUAUCAGUUUGCAGAAAAUUACACACACUCAUAACAGAGAUAAAAGAUCUAAAUAAAUGCAGAGUUGGACUAUGUUUCA
rnacentral:lncRNA from 1 species